UGGCUGAAAAGGAUCGGGAUGAGCUGUGCCUAGGGGUGAAAGGCCAAUCAAACUCGGAGAUAGCUGGUUCUCUGCGAAAUCUAUUUAGGUAGAGCGUCAUCCGAAUACCCUCGGGGGUAGAGCACUGGAUGGGUAAUGGGGCCCCACAGGCUUACUGAUCCUAACCAAACUCCGAAUACCGAGGAGUACUAGAUGGCAGACACACAGCGGAUGCUAACGUCCGUUGUGAAGAGGGAAACAACCCUGACCUACAGCUAAGGCCCCUAAUUCAUGGCUAAGUGGGAAAGCAGGUGGGACGACCAAAACAACCAGGAGGUUGGCUUAGAAGCAGCCAUCCUUUAAAGAUAGCGUAACAGCUCACUGGUCUAAAUAAGUUGUCUUGCGGCGAAGAUGUAACGGGGCUCAAGCCAUGAGCCGAAGCUUAGGAUGCAUUAAUUGCAUGGUAGCAGAGCGUAGUGUGAC
rnacentral:rRNA from 1 species